rnacentral:rRNA from 1 species
UACGUACCGGACAAACGUUAUUCGGAAUUACUGGGCUUAAAGAGCUCGUAGGCGGUUUGUCGCGUCUGCCGUGAAAGUCCGGGGCUCAACUCCGGAUCUGCGGUGGGUACGGGCAGACUAGAGUGAUGUAGGGGAGACUGGAAUUCCUGGUGUAGCGGUGAAAUGCGCAGAUAUCAGGAGGAACACCGAUGGCGAAGGCAGGUCUCUGGGCAUUAACUGACGCUGAGGAGCGAAAGCAUGGGGAGCGAACAGG